rnacentral:rRNA from 1 species
GAUGAACGCUGGCGGCGUGCUUAACACAUGCAAGUCGAACGAAGCACUUUAUUUGAUUUCCUUCGGGACUGAUUAUUUUGUGACUGAGUGGCGGACGGGUGAGUAACGCGUGGGUAACCUGCCUUGUACAGGGGGAUAACAGUUGGAAACGGCUGCUAAUACCGCAUAAGCGCACAGCAUCGCAUGAUGCAGUGUGAAAAACUCCGGUGGUAUAAGAUGGACCCGCGUUGGAUUAGCUAGUUGGUGAGGUAACGGCCCACCAAGGCGACGAUUCAUAGCCGACCUGAGAGGGUGACCGGCCACAUUGGGACUGAGACACGGCCCAAACUCCUACGGGAGGCAGCAGUGGGGAAUAUUGCACAAUGGGCGAAAGCCUGAUGCAGCGACGCCGCGUGAGCGAAGAAGUAUUUCGGUAUGUAAAGCUCUAUCAGCAGGGAAGAUAAUGACGGUACCUGACGAAGAAGCACCGGCUAAAUACGUG